CCAUGGGAACAGCUUCAGAUGUGCUGCAGAGGGAAGCCUUGGACCCCAACCAGGAGGCUGGGAAGAUAAACUGGCUUCCACGCCCGCUUGCUCCUUCCUGUGCUCUGGGAGAGAGCCUGCCUCCGGCAGGUGCCCUUCUAGAAAGGAGAUGCCCUUCUAGAAAAGAGCUGUCAGGCGCCAGAUCCUCCACUCCGUCUGCAGGAGAGGCUGGGGGCCGCGCCUCUGGAAUUUGCAGGUGCACGGCGCCGACCUGGGGGAUCAGCGGCCCCUGCUGUGCGCGGGGACACCUACGGCCGGAGGCUCCCACGUCUGGGACCCUGAGAGCUGGAGGAGGUUUUCCAUCCGCUCCAGGAGCAGCCUGGAGAACAGGUUCUUCACCCCCACCGGCAGGACGAGGCAGAGGGCGGAGGAUCUUCCUCCCCGCGCGGGCCUGCUGUCCGGGUCCUCCCUAGCGGCCGGGGAGUGGCCGGGCUCCGACCAUCCAGGUACCCGGGGCAGACCGUGAGCCCGGGCGCCGGAGAAGGGGGAGAAGUCGAUGGACCCGAGCACCUGGGUCGAGCAUUGCGUCUGGGCGCUAGCAGUCCAUGUCCACGAAGGAUACCGCUGCUGGAGGCCAGCCCUUGGCGCCAGUCGGGGGAAGCGGCAUGGAGGGGACGUCUGCUGAACCCUGGGACCUGGAGUUCGGGGUUCCGGGGGCGGGCGGAUGUGGGCUGCACUUGAGGACGGCGCGCCCCAGCCCCGCCAAGCCGACUGCGGACCUGCCAUCCGCCAGGAGCUCUGCCACGUGGGCCCCCAGCCGACGGCAGCUCUGUCUGACCUUCCUGCUAGUCUGUGUUCUUUCAGCCGUCUUCUUCCUCCACAUCCACCAAGACCUGUUUCACAGUGGCCUAGACCUCACUGCCCUGUGUCCAGACCGCCACCUCCUGACACCCCCCGUGGCCAUCUUCUGCCUGUCGGGCUCACCGACGGCCCCCAACACCUCCUUUCCCUGUCUCAAGCCCCCUGCCUCCCUCUCAGGAAUCUGGACUAUCUACCCAGACGGCCGCUUCGGCAACCAGAUGGGGCAGUAUGCCACGCUGCUGGCCCUGGCCCAGCUCAACGGUCGCCAGGCGUUCAUCCUGCCCGCCAUGCAUGCCGCCCUCGCCCCCGUGUUCCGCAUCACCCUGCCCGUGCUGGCCCCCGAGGUGGAGGGCCACACGCCAUGGCGGGAGCUGCAGCUGCAUGACUGGAUGUCGGAGGACUAUGCCCACUUGGAGGAUGCCUUUCUGAAGCUCACGGGCUUCCCCUGCUCCUGGACCUUCUUCCACCAUCUCCGUGCCCAGAUCCGCCGCGAGUUCACCUUGCACGAACACCUGCGGCAGGAGGCCCAGGGUCUACUGAGCCAGCUCCGCUUGGGCCGCACGGGGGACCGUCCUCGCACCUUUGUGGGUGUCCACGUGCGCCGGGGGGACUACCUGCAAGUCAUGCCCCAUCGCUGGAAGGGUGUGGUGGGCGAUCGCGCUUACCUCCAGCAGGCUAUGGACUGGUUCCGGGCCCGGCACGAAGCCCCCAUCUUUGUGGUCGUCAGCAACGGCAUGGCCUGGUGUCGGGAGAACAUUGACGCCUCCCGGGGGGAUGUGAUCUUUGCUGGUGACGGGCAGGAGGGCUCGCCAGGGAAGGACUUUGCGCUGCUCACGCAGUGCAACCACACCAUCAUGACCAUUGGGACCUUUGGUUUCUGGGCUGCCUACCUGGCCGGUGGAGACACUGUCUACCUGGCCAACUUCACCCUGCCGAACUCCAACUUCCUUAAGAUCUUUAAGCCCGAGGCCGCCUUCCUGCCCGAGUGGGUGGGUAUUAAUGCGGACUUGUCUGCACUCCAGUCGCUGGCAGGGCCUUGAGCAGCAGGGAGACUUUCUGGAAUUGCUGAUCAGUCUUGGGCCAGCAUUUAUGCAUCUCCAGAGGCCUGGCAGCUUGGAGAGAAAAGAGGGCUUUCUGUAGCUGUCUGGACAUUCUAGAACCAGCAGAAGAUCUUUUCCUGUUGGUUAGCAAUGCCUAGAGAGGCUCAUGUCAGUUCUAGAAGGCAAUGCCUACCUGCUCUUCCCAGCCCAUAUCUGGAGUACUUCUAGAUGGCUGCACCCCAAGUACAGCCAUUCUAGAGAGGGUCAAUUCUAGUGCCUGUGAAGAAUCCUGCAGGGCUCUUCCAGAGGGGAUGGAGUUCUGGAAUUCCAGGAGAAUCUCAGGAAGGUACAAUCCGAAGCUCAACGCCUCAACCACUGCCAGAAAGAUUGGUGGAAGACAAACUGUCUAUAGCUGCAAGCAGACCCGAAAUCUGUCCAACCUCUCAGCCCCGGAAAAAAAAAAGACCAAGACUCUUUUUUGAGCAGAUAGGCGAAAACAUGGGAGGUGGGGGAGGGGGACGGCUGCUGAAUUGCAGCAGCUUCUGGAGCAAAGUUUUCCAGAAAUGUAGGAACACUUUUUUUUUUAAGCUCAAAAACUGCCAAAGACAAGCACCCCACAAGGUGGCUCUGAGUUAGGUCGCCUCUCCCAAUUACAGACGUUUCCUCCUUUGCUGCAGGGCUUGGGGGUGGGCGGGUGAUGAUGGAAUCGAUUUUCUGGAAUUCAGCUGGCAUGAAUGUUUCCUUUGGGCUUAUAGAAAGCAGCUGGCCUUGUGUCCCUUGCCAACCCCUGUCUGCCCCCGAUUUCACAGAACCUGGCUUCGGGUUUGAAAGAGUCUGAGGGUAUUCAGACUCCAGACUGUCCUCAAACCCAGGCAGGAAGGAGCACAGGGUUUGGCCAAGGAGGAUGGGAUUCUGGACUCAGAUUUCAGGAACCCCUUGAGGCUUUUUGAAGGGGGUUGAAGGUGGCUAGCUAUCUUUAUUGCAGACAACUCUGAUCGCAUCUCCUGUUUACCCAGAAGAAUGCAGACCCCUUUUUUAGUCUUCUCAGGGAGUUUUGAGGGAUCAUUCCCUAUUCAGCUGCUCCAGGUGGGGAAGAGGGAGGUAUGAAUUAAAAGUCCACAUCGCCAA